GCCGAAAUAGCUCAGUUGGUAGAGCAUCGGUAUCGUAAACCGAGGGUCGCGGGUUCGAAUCCCGCUUUCGGCU
rnacentral:tRNA from 1 species